rnacentral:lncRNA from 1 species
UAUUAUACAUAAUGAAGGUGUGCUCUGCUUUGAACCUUCACUUAGUAAAACAGUAACAUUUACUCUAGAGUUAGUAGUGGUGCCAUAAUUGAACUAUGACUGCUUAAGGGAAAUAAAGUAUUACUGCUUAUACACAAUAAUAAAAGUGUUGACAUAAGCUUUAAUAGGCAGCACAUUACGCCAUGUGCUAGCCCAAUUUUUCAUGAGCGUUUUUUGAGAAUAAGCCUCAUUCUCAUAGGAAGUGGCCUACUUCCACACUCAUUUAGGUGAAAUCUUUCAAGGGUGGUCCUGUAAUUUCGACACCCCACUCAUAAGAGAUACAAAAUUUCAUUAAGAGUUCUUAGACUCAACCUUCACAAAUCAUUACAGGAAUAAAAUGCACUCACAUCAUAGGAAGAAUUAAACAAUAGUGCAUCUCACACCAAGUCAUUAUAUGAUUCGUUCUUCCCCUUGAACUUGGUUAUAGGAUCUCUAGUCUCCAAGUUGGGUUUCCAUAUAUAUAACUCAUGAUAUUUUUUAUAGGCUUUCUUCCUCCCCCUCGAUGUAAUUCAGACUAUUUUCUUGCUAAGGCCUUAGUUUUGAAUCUGCAAGAUUAUCACAAAGUUAACACAAUUAAUAUUGGUAUACCAUUGAUCAAUAUGAUCUCACAAUAUUGUGUUUUUCUCAUUAUGGUCUGAAUUUUCUAUUAUAAAAAUGGUUUAUACUCUAUCAAUAAAUUUUUGGUGCUAUCACAUAACUCAAUAUUAGAGAGAUCAAUUUCUCAACAUAAAGUGAUUGAUCAAUUAACUUUUUCACUAGUUGAAGCUAAAAUAGUUAUUUCAACCUCCAUAAUGAGUUAGCAAAUCAUAAUUUAUUUCUCAUUAGUAAAUAGCACCACGUUAUUUUUUUCCUCAUUUUGCAUCAAAAACACUUUUAAGUACAACAAGCCACAAACUUUUUCUUUAACCAAGUAAAUAUACUUGAUUUGCUUGUUUAAGUACUUUUACAUAACUUCAUGCCAAGUGAAACUAGCCACAUAUUUCAUAUUUCAUUAAGCUAGUAAAAUCUUUUUUUUUUUCACACCACUUUCACAUAUUUGAAUCAAAAGAAGUUGCAUGACUAAUAUAAUCAACAAAAUGUAUUUCACAAUUUUUAUUUUUUACCAUAAUGUGACAUGUCAAGAAAAAAUUCAUCAAAUAAUUUAGGUAUUUUUCAUUCCAAGAAUGAAAUUUACCUCACCCAAUGUCAAAUGGCUACUCAACAUUUUUACUCUUUCUUUGAUAACAUGCUAGAGCCAAAUAUAAAGACGUCACGUUAUAUACAAAUUAAUAAUGACAUGUGAUUUACUCCAACAAUAAUUAUGCACUUAUAACACUUUUUUAACUCAUUCUCAAAAGUAAAAAUGUCACAAUUUUGUGGUGAUUUUUUCUCAUUUCAUUAGCCCCCACUAUUUUGAGCAUUUGAAAUAUCACUUAUGUUUAUAAAAAGUAGUAUAGUUUUAUUCAAAAUAAAAUAUUAGGUAAUUUUUUUUACCUUUUCUCCGCAACAAGUAGAAUUUUUUUUACCUUUCAUCCCCUUGAGUUGAGCAAGUAUUUUUAUCUUUCAUCCCCUUGAGUUGAGCAAAUAGAAAGAUACUUGUUAUCUCUUGCCAUCUAUCUUUUGAGAUCUCUCAUCUCGAUAUCCAUGAUUUUGUAAACAAUACCAAAACAUGAAUCUCCUUAAAAUUGUUGGUGUAAUAUACCACAUUUACAAUAAAUGAUUACAGUUGAAAAUAAAAUGAAUAAAAGCAAAGAAAAUAAAAUAAUCUUCUUCUUGGCUGAGACGCGGAUAUCUCGCUUUCUUUAAGAAGAUUCAAGCCCACUGUGACAUAAUCUACACCGAUCCAACAGUAUAUCUAGUGACUUAUCCCCUCCAGGAUACAACAGUCCAUCAAUGAUGUACAACUCAAACAACUCUGGAUUAGUUGAAGAGUCCAAAGCUCUACACCUUCCUUCAACAUAUAUUUACUUUCUUUGUAUAGUGAAUAAAGUUAAAGACUUAGAUUGUUUUCUUUGUCUCAACUCUUUCUUUCACUAAUAUAAUAACUCUCAUUUAUAAAGUGAAUAUAGUUGUAGACUUAGAAUAUUUUCUUUGUCUCAACUCUCUCUUUCACUGCUACACACUAUAAUCUAUUUCACACUUAUCAUAUUUUCUAGUCCAUGCAAUAUAACAUGCAAGACCACCUCUAUUUAUAGGUGAGGUAUUCAUCCUUGUAUUGAAUAGGAAGAAUGUGGUGUAGUAAAGUGGGUUCAUGAAUAGUUGGAUGUUACAUGAGUUACAAUUAUAAUUACAUAGUAUAAUGGAAAAAUAAAGACUUAGUGGUUAUAGGAGUUUCAAGAAACUUAUGACCACAUUCUUCCACUAACAAAUGUAAGUAAUAAUACUCAGAAUACACAAUUUAUACCCACUAACAUAUGCACUUAAUAUAUUAAUUUCAUAAUAAAAUGAAUAUACACCAACACUUACUGGGGCAAAACUGAGAAAAUAUGAGGUUGGGGAUUGAAGCCCAAACGUGUCUCUACAAUUUACACAAAACACUCAUUUUUGCAGCUUCAUCAAUAGUCAAAUUCUCCUGAAUUUGGUGUUUGACAUUAAUGGGAAGAUUUGUAACUCUAUCAAUACGUUCGCCAGCUUCAAUUUUGAGUCCCUUAGAGGGAUCCAUUAGUGUGACUUGAGAGUUGUUAUAGAAGGCAAGGCGUGUAUGAUAUAUGAAUGAGUAGAUAGACUCCUAAUUGACUUUAAAUAGGGUUGGGACUUUUAGUCUACAAAUAAUAUCAUGGCAUUACUGUUAAAAGGGUCAUAAGGUAUGCAGUUUUUCUUUUCUAUUUUUCAUUACAUGGGUCUUUUUAUUUUUUGUUUUGGGGGAGGAGAGUGUGGAGAAGUUGUGGGAUUUGUGUUAAAAGGUGGAAUUGUAUGAAUUUGAGUUAUGGGUUUUCUUUUUUAUUUUGUUGUUGUUUGCAAAGAAAAUUUUUUGUGUAAAGAAGCAACAAUUUGAACAGGCACGACACCAACAAGAAUUUCGCUUGAGUUAAAAGGAUAUGUUGAAUUAAGGGUCAUGGGUCGCUCAUGUGACCCGAACCAACCCGACUCGACCUAGUUUUUUAAUUUGUUUUUGAAUUAUCUGACAAAAUAAGGGGAAAAAGAAGAGAUAAGUUUAAUUUUAAAACUUGGGGGGAACGGUUACUGUUCCACUUUCCCAAUAUAUUACCACUUCUUUUCCUAUGUAAAAGUCAGAAAAACAGUAACAAAAGGCCAAAUGGAAAACAACAACAAGGCAGUGAAACUUUAAGGCAUUUAGUUUGUGAUUCUAUAACUUUGUUUCCAAGAGAUUCAAAGAAGACGUGGGGCAGAUCUUUUCGGUUGCAAAAUCAAAUUCCGCUGCAAGUUUAAGGUACACACUGAUUUAUGUUUUUGCUCCGAAUAAACUAACAAUGGCAUCAGAGACGGGUUUAUUGCCCCGUUUUUACAUGUUAUUUUUUUAAGUUUAAGAGAAAUUUAUGUAUGAACAUACCUGUGAGAAAAUCUUGAUUAUUGGUUGUAUGAAUUUUUGGAUCUGAUUAGAAGCGCCGCCAUGGCGGGUUUUUUUUUGGCGGAUCCUGUUAGAUGCCUGUCAAACGCGUCGCUAAAAUCUGGUUGGACGCACCCCAAUUCAGAAAGACACAUCAAUUUUUUUUAUUUGACCUUUCACUUUAAUUUGCUGUUGUGAUUGUUAUGGUUUCAAAUGCUAUGAAGCACUUUUGUAAUUUUUAAGAACAAAAAAAAUAAAAAAUAUAAGGUUUGAUUUAUGCGGCUUCAGAAGAAGGAAAGAAAGCUGCUCCCCUUUUGUUUUUUUCUUUUUAUAAGAAAUAGUAAAGUUUUUGUUUGACUUUAAGAGAGAAGUACUUUUGAG